AUACGUAGGGGGUGAGCGUUGUCCGGAAUGAUUGGGCGUAAAGGGCGCGUAGGCGGCCUGUUAAGUCUGGAGUGAAAGUCCUGUUUUCAAGCUGGGAAUUGCUUUGGAUACUGAUGGGCUUGAGUGCAGGAGAGGUUAUCGGAAUUCCCGGUGUAGCGGUGAAAUGCGUAGAGAUUGGGAGGAACACCAGUGGCGAAGGCGGGUAACUGGACUGCAACUGACGCUGAGGCGCGAAAGUGUGGGGAGCAAACAGGAUUAGAUACCCUGGUAGUCCACACUGUAAACGAUGAAUGCUAGGUGUAAGAGGUAUCGACCCCUUUUGUGCCGGAGUUAACACAAUAAGCAUUCCGCCUGGGGAGUACGGCCGCAAGGUUGAAACUCAAAUGAAUUGACGGGG
rnacentral:rRNA from 1 species